rnacentral:rRNA from 1 species
GGCACCACCAGGGGUGGAGCCUGCGGCUUAAUUUGACUCAACACGGGGAAACUCACCAGGUCCAGACACAAUGAGGAUUGACAGAUUGAGAGCUCUUUCUUGAUUUUGUGGGUGGUGGUGCAUGGCCGUUCUUAGUUGGUGGAGUGAUUUGUCUGCUUAAUUGCGAUAACGAACGAGACCUUAACCUGCUAAAUAGCCCGUAUUGCUUUGGCAGUACGCUGGCUUCUUAGAGGGACUAUCGGCUCAAGCCGAUGGAAGUUUGAGGCAAUAACAGGUGAGUACCUCCUUGGCCGAAAGGCCCGGGUAAUCUUGUUAAACUCCGUCGUGCUGGGGAUAGAGCAUUGCAAUUAUUGCUCUUCAACGAGGAAUCCCUAGUAAGCGCAAGUCAUCAGCUUGCGUUGAUUACGUCCCUGCCCUUUGUACACACCGCCCGUCGCUACUACCGAUUGAAUGGCUCAGUGAGGCGUUCGGACUGGCCCAGAGAGGUGGGCAACUACCACUCAGGGCCGGAAAGUUCUCCAAACUCGGUCAUUUAGAGGAAGUAAAAGUCGUAACAAGGUC